CCUACGGGUGGCUGCAGUGGGGAAUAUUGGACAAUGGGGGCAACCCUGAUCCAGCCAUGCCGCGUGUGUGAAGAAGGCCCUCGGGUUGUAAAGCACUUUCAGUGAGGAAGAACGCCUGGUGGUUAAUACCCAUCAGGAAAGACAUCACUCACAGAAGAAGCACCGGCUAACUCCGUGCCAGCAGCCGCGGUAAUACGGAGGGUGCGAGCGUUAAUCGGAAUUACUGGGCGUAAAGCGCGCGUAGGUGGCUUGAUAAGCCGGUUGUGAAAGCCCCGGGCUCAACCUGGGAACGGCAUCCGGAACUGUCCAGCUAGAGUGCAGGAGAGGAAGGUAGAAUUCCCGGUGUAGCGGUGAAAUGCGUAGAGAUCGGGAGGAAUACCAGUGGCGAAGGCGGCCUUCUGGACUGACACUGACCCUGAGGUGCGAAAGCGUGGGUAGCAAACAGGAUUAGAUACCCUAGUAGUC
rnacentral:rRNA from 1 species